rnacentral:rRNA from 1 species
GGUUAAGCGAAUAAGCGUACACGGUGGAUGCCUAGGCAAUCAGAGGCGAUGAAGGACGUGCUAAUCUGCGAAAAGCGUCGGUAAGGUGAUAUGAACCGCUAUACCCGACGAUAUCCGAAUGGGGAAACCCAGUAUCCAAUGGAUACUAUCAUUAACUGAAUCCAUAGGUUAAUGAGGCGAACCGGGAGAACUGAAACAUCUCAGUACCCCGAGGAAAAGAAAUCAACCGAGAUUCCCCUAGUAGCGGCGAGCGAACGGGGAGCAGCCCAGAGUCUUAAUCAAUAGCAGUGUCAGGAGAACGGUCUGGAAAGUCCGGCAGUAAAGGGUGAUAGCCCCGUAUCUGAAGAUGCUGUUGUUGUGAACUCGACGAGUAGGGCGGGACACGUGUUAUCCUGUCUGAAUAUGGGGGGACCAUCCUCCAAGGCUAAAUACUCCUGAUUGACCGAUAGUGAACCAGUACCGUGAGGGAAAGGCGAAAAGAACCCCGGCGAGGGGAGUGAAAAAGAACCUGAAACCGUGUACGUACAAGCAGUAGGAGCCUCUUUAUGGGGUGACUGCGUACCUUUUGUAUAAUGGGUCAGCGACUUAUAUUCUGUAGCAAGGUUAACCGUAUAGGGGAGCCGUAGGGAAACCGAGUCUUAACUGGGCGAAUGAGUUGCAGGGUAUAGACCC